ACUGCAGAUAGGUGUCCCAAAUUCACCAUUUUAGGACCUCUCCCCCUCUCUUUCUCUCUCAUUUUCUUGAGGUAGUUAGGCUUAAUUUCUAGCUAGAGUUAUAGUAGUGGCAUCGAAGGAAGAGAAGGGGUGUGUGUGAGCAAGAUGGAGAAGCAGGGCACGUGCACUACUAACUCAUGCACACAGAGAGGGAGACGCAUUUCUUGCUGGAGUUACGAGUUACGACUCUUACCUACUAUUGAUUUUGUUAGCUCCAGUGAGUUAGUUAUUCAUGUGCCUGUCUUCCUCAUC
rnacentral:misc_RNA from 1 species